UGCCGCCUCGCAGGAGAGAGAGGGCCUCCCUCCGCCGAAGGCGCAAACUCCCAUAAUCGCUCAGGCACCAUUACUGCGACGUCAAU
rnacentral:ncRNA from 2 species